rnacentral:misc_RNA from 1 species
GAUGAAGAACGUAGUGAAAUGCGAUACUUGGUGCGAAUUGCAGAAUCCCGUGAACCAUCGAGUUUUUGAACGCAAGUUGCGCCCGAAGCCGUUAGGCCGAGGGCACGCCUGCCUGGGUGUCACACAUCGUUGCCCCAAUGCCAAUCGCCUCACUUUGUAGGUAUUUGCUUGGGGUGAAUGUUGGCCUCCCGUGAGCUUUGUCUCACGGUUGGUUGAAAAUCGAGUGCAUGGUGUCGGGUGUACCAUGAUGGAUGGUGGUUGAGUGAUGAUGCUCGAGACCAAUCAUGGGUAACUCCACCAGAAUUGGGCUCGGUGACCCACAUGCGUCCCUUGGAUGCUCCCUAAGGAGACCUCAGGUCAGGCGGGGCUACCCGCUGAGUUUAAGCAUAUCAAUAAGCGGAGGA